UUAAGUGACUAAGCGUACACGGUGGAUGCCUUGGCAGUCAGAGGCGAUGAAAGACGUAGUAACUUGCGAUAAGCCCAGAUUAGGUAGUAACAACCAUUUGAGUCUGGGAUUUCUGAAUGGGGAAACCCACGUGCAUAAGCACGUAUCCUUACCUGAAUACAUAGGGUAAGGAGGCGAACCGGGGGAACUGAAACAUCUAAGUACCCCGAGGAAAAGAAAUCAACCGAGAUUCCGAAAGUAGCGGCGAGCGAAAUUGGACUAGCCCUUAAGCUUUACACGCGUUAGACGAACGGUCUGGAAAGUCCGACGAUACAGGGUGAUAGUCCCGUAGUUGACGACGUGUGUUCAGUGAAAUCGAGUAGGGCGGGACACGUGAUAUCCUGUCUGAAUAUGGGGGGACCAUCCUCCAAGGCUAAAUACUACUGACUGACCGAUAGUGAACCAGUACCGUGAGGGAAAGGCGAAAAGAACCCCUGUGAGGGGAGUGAAAUAGAACCUGAAACCGUGUACGUACAAGCAGUAGGAGCAGGCUUUGUCCUGUGACUGCGUACCUUUUGUAUAAUGGGUCAGCGACUUAUAUUCAGUGGCAAGGUUAACCAUCUAGGGGAGCCGUAGGGAAACCGAGUCUUAACUGGGCGUUCAGUCUCUGGAUAUAGACCCGAAACCAGGUGAUCUAGCCAUGGGCAGGUUGAAGGUUGAGUAACAUCAACUGGAGGACCGAACCGACUAAUGUUGAAAAAUUAGCGGAUGACUUGUGGCUAGGGGUGAAAGGCCAAUCAAACCUGGAGAUAGCUGGUUCUCCCCGAAAGCUAUUUAGGUAGCGCCUCGGACGAAUACUACUGGGGGUAGAGCACUGUUAAGGCUAGGGGGUCAUCCCGACUUACCAACCCUUUGCAAACUCCGAAUACCAGUAAGUACUAUCCGGGAGACACACGGCGGGUGCUAACGUCCGUCGUGGAGAGGGAAACAACCCAGACCGCCAGCUAAGGUCCCAAAUUACUACUAAGUGGGAAACGAUGUGGGAAGGCUCAGACAGCCAGGAUGUUGGCUUAGAAGCAGCCAUCAUUUAAAGAAAGCGUAAUAGCUCACUGGUCGAGUCGGCCUGCGCGGAAGAUGUAACGGGGCUAAGUAGUAAACCGAAGCUGCGGCAAUAUACUUUUGUAUAUUGGGUAGGGGAGCGUUCUGUAAGCGGUUGAAGGUGUGUGGUAACGCAUGCUGGACGUAUCAGAAGUGCGAAUGCUGACAUGAGUAACGAUAAAGGGGGUGAAAAACCUCCUCGCCGGAAGACCAAGGGUUCCUGUCCAACGUUAAUCGGGGCAGGGUAAGUCGACCCCUAAGGCGAGGCCGAAAGGCGUAGUCGAUGGGAAACGGGUUAAUAUUCCCGUACUUCUUACAAUUGCGAUGGGGGGACGGAGAAGGCUAGGUGGGCCUGGCGACGGUUGUCCAGGUUCAAGUGCGUAGGCUUAAGAGUUAGGUAAAUCCGGCUCUUUUUAAGGCUGAGACACGACGUCGAGCACCUACGGGUGUGAAGUCAUUGAUGCCAUGCUUCCAGGAAAAGCCUCUAAGCUUCAGAUUGUAAGGAAUCGUACCCCAAACCGACACAGGUGGUCGGGUAGAGAAUACCAAGGCGCUUGAGAGAACUCGGGUGAAGGAACUAGGCAAAAUGGUACCGUAACUUCGGGAGAAGGUACGCUCUUGAUGGUGAAGUCCCUUGCGGAUGGAGCUGACGAGAGUCGCAGAUACCAGGUGGCUGCAACUGUUUAUUAAAAACACAGCACUGUGCAAAAUCGUAAGAUGACGUAUACGGUGUGACGCCUGCCCGGUGCCGGAAGGUUAAUUGAUGGGGUUAGACUUCGGUCGAAGCUCUUGAUCGAAGCCCCGGUAAACGGCGGCCGUAACUAUAACGGUCCUAAGGUAGCGAAAUUCCUUGUCGGGUAAGUUCCGACCUGCACGAAUGGCGUAAUGAUGGCCACGCUGUCUCCACCCGAGACUCAGUGAAAUUGAAAUCGCUGUGAAGAUGCAGUGUACCCGCGGCUAGACGGAAAGACCCCGUGAACCUUUACUACAGCUUGGCACUGAACAUUGACCCUACAUGUGUAGGAUAGGUGGGAGGCUUUGAAGCACGUACGCCAGUAUGUGUGGAGCCGUCCUUGAAAUACCACCCUUGUAGUGUUGAUGUUCUAACGUCGACCCCUAAUCGGGGUUGCGGACAGUGCCUGGUGGGUAGUUUGACUGGGGCGGUCUCCUCCCAAAGAGUAACGGAGGAGCACGAAGGUGGGCUAAUCACGGUUGGACAUCGUGAGGUUAGUGCAAUGGCAUAAGCCCGCUUGACUGCGAGAAUGACAAUUCGAGCAGGUGCGAAAGCAGGUCAUAGUGAUCCGGUGGUUCUGAAUGGAAGGGCCAUCGCUCAACGGAUAAAAGGUACUCCGGGGAUAACAGGCUGAUACCGCCCAAGAGUUCAUAUCGACGGCGGUGUUUGGCACCUCGAUGUCGGCUCAUCACAUCCUGGGGCUGAAGUCGGUCCCAAGGGUAUGGCUGUUCGCCAUUUAAAGUGGUACGCGAGCUGGGUUUAGAACGUCGUGAGACAGUUCGGUCCCUAUCUGCCGUGGGCGUUGGAAGAUUGAAGGGGGCUGCUCCUAGUACGAGAGGACCGGAGUGGACGAACCUCUGGUGUUCGGGUUGUGUCGCCAGACGCAUUGCCCGGUAGCUAAGUUCGGAAUCGAUAACCGCUGAAAGCAUCUAAGCGGGAAGCGAGCCCUGAGAUGAGUCUUCCCUGAUACUUUAAGUAUCCUAAAGGGUUGUCGGAGACUACGACGUUGAUAGGUCAGGUGUGUAAGUGCUGUGAGGCAUUGAGCUAACUGAUACUAAUUGCCCGUGAGGCUUAACCAU
rnacentral:rRNA from 2 species